rnacentral:lncRNA from 1 species
ACCAGAAUCACCUGUGCAAUUUGAAAACUGCACAUGUCCACCCUGAAAGUCUGAUUUGGGUCUGGGUUGAGGCCCGGAUGUGGGUAGUUUUUAAAGGUCCCUAGUGGUUCAGAAGCAUAGCCAGGGUACAGCUGGUCCACACACAUCCCCAGCACUCUCAUCCCUGACCACAGCUUCCAAUUGCCAGUUGGUUGACAAUUCCCAAAUUGCCUUUGCCAGCGCAGCUCUCUCUGCUUCCUUCCAGGCUACAAAUUCACCGGCUUCCUGAACAUUUCCACUUGGAUAAUCCACAGGCCCUUCCAACUCAACAUGUCCAACACUGAACUCACGAGCCCCUGCCUUUCCUCCCAGGAGCCGGGAUGUACCCCUCCCCCAGGUCAGCCCGCCAAAGGCACACUUCUGCAGGGUCUACCUACCUCCUUACCCUAUCCAGUCAGGCACUAAUGAAUUUUCAAAAUUGCGUGUUCCAGAUUGGGGCCUGGCAGCCCCACGCUCCCCUCACGCCCUGCAUCAGACCUCAUCCUCUUUCCACAGCAGCCUCCACCUUUCUCUCCAACCCCAUCCUCUUUACUACAGCCAGAGUCAUCCACAAAAAAUGCCUGUCUGAUUACACCAUUCUGCUCAAAACCCUCCCAUGGUCCCCAGUGUUAGGAUCUUUCCAUCCAUGUUACUCACCCAGCCCUCAACCCACCUGCCAAAUUGCCAUAAUUAGGCAUCUGAAAUGCUGCCCUCCAGCUACCUACUUCAAGCCUCAGCUCAGAUGUUCCUUCUCUGUGACCCUUGCCUUCAGCCCUCAGUACCCACUUCUGCCAACACUGCCCCUGCUGUGCCGCAGUGACCCCCGUGUUUGCGAGUGUGUCCGUACUCCAAGCCCUAAGCAGCACAGGAGGUGAGCUGUGGGGAGACUAGAGCAGAGUCAGACCCUGAAAGCUGCACAGAGGCUAAGCAACCCAACAAGGCAGGUGAACUGGCCGCUGAGAGAAGAAUCGGGUGGAGCAGAGAGCACCUGCUGCAGGGCAGACAGCCAGGACCCCCAAAUCUGCACGUACCAGCAGUCAGCCGCCCCACGCAGGGACCGGCUUACUCCUCGCUCCCCGCCCUCACUCACUUUCUCCCGCCCUCGGCCCGGCCUCCCAGCUCUCUACUUCGCGUGUCUACAAACUCAACUCCCAGUUUCCGUGCCUCUCCACCGCUCGAGUUCUCUACUCUCCAUAUCCGAGGGGCCCCUCCCAGCAUCUACCCCCCUCCCAACCUCGGGGGACCUAGCCAAGCUAGGGGGGACUGGAUCCAACGGGUGGAGCAGCCAGGUGAGCCCCGAAAGGUGGGGCGGGGCAGGGGCGCUCCCAGCCCCACCCCGGGAUCUGGUGACGCUGGGGCUGGAAUUUGACACCGGACGGCUGCGGCGGCGGGCAGGAGGCUGCUGAGGGAUGGAGUUGGGCCCGGCCCCCAGACAAGGCCCGGGGGCUCCGCCAGCAGCAGGUCCCUCGGGCCCCAGCCCUCGCUGCCACCCGGGCCUGGAGCCCCACACCCGAGGUAAGCCAGCCCACUUGCCUGUUUCUGGUCCCAGCCCUGGAUGGACGCUCCUGGGCUGGGGGAGUGGACAGGACCACCCCCCUCCUCUCCUUUCUUGCAUCCUCCCUCUCUUGGGCCCUCGGCACAGUUCUCCGCUCCUCCCAGCCCCUCAGUCCCUCUUGUCGCUUGUUGGACUGUGCUGGCCUUGCCGGCCCACUGUAAUGUGAGGCUCCCGCUGCCGCUACAGGGUGCAGACUGGCUGCCAAGGCCACACUUUUGGCUAAAAGAGGCACUGCCAGGUGUACAGUCCUGGGCAUGCGCCGUUUGAGCUUCGGGGGAGAGCCCAGCACUGGUCCCCGGAAAGGUGCCUAGAAGAACACGGUGCAGGACCCCGUGCUGCCUCAACAGGAGGGUGGGGGAACAGCUCAACAAUGGCUGAUGGGCGCUCCUGGUGUUGAUAGAGAUGGAACUUGGACUUGGAGGCCUCUCCACGCUGUCCCACUGCCCCUGGCCUAGGCGGCAGGUGAGUGGUUCUCCCAGUGACUCCUACCUGGUACUGAGGAAAGGCGGCUUGACUGGCGAGGGAGAGCAGGGCUUGGCUUGGGCAGCGGUUAGGUGUGGGAGGGAAAAUGGUCAGGGAGGGACCAGGUGAAUGGGAGGAGGAGCGGGACUUCUCUGAAUGGUCGGUGCACUCAGGUGAUUCCUCCCCUGGGCUCCCAGAGGCAGCAAACCCAUUAUACUGGAACCUAGGCCCUUCCUGAGUUUCCCCUCCACACAGCUAGGAGCCCAUGCCCGGUGAUCUCAGCCCGAG